UACAGAGGUCUCAAGCGUUGUUCGGAUUCAUUGGGCGUAAAGGGUGCGUAGGUGGCGCCGUAAGUCGGGUGUGAAAUUUCGGAGCUUAACUCCGAAACUGCAUUCGAUACUGCGGUGCUUGAGGACUGGAGAGGAGACUGGAAUUCACGGUGUAGCGGUGAAAUGCGUAGAUAUCGUAAGGAAGACCAGUGGCGAAGGCGGGUCUCUGGACAGUUCCUGACACUGAGGCACGAAGGCCAGGGGAGCAAACGGG
rnacentral:rRNA from 1 species